GCCCGUUUGGCGCAAUGGUAGCGCGUCGCCCUCCUAAGGCGAAGGUUGCGGGUUCGAUCCCCGUGAUGGGUG